rnacentral:lncRNA from 1 species
AAAUUACUUUGUUUCCUUGAGACUUUUGAACUUUAAUUGCCAUACUGCUGCUUUGAUUCUGCUCAAUAUUUAAUCUGUUGUCUGCCUGCGAUUAAGUAUACGCUUAGUUGCCUAAUCGGUGUCAAUUCUUCGCUUAGUUGAUUAGACUGUACGGUGGAUGACUGAUUAAAUGUGUGCAUUGCAUUCGCUUAGUCUGUAAUUCUGAAGACCGAAUUAGCCUGCACUGUGUCAUAUUUGGAUGAGAGUAGUGUGUACUUGUUGUUGAUCUGGGAUAGGAAGUAUUGUAAUUAAGUUAAUGACCGACCAUUUUUACAUCCAUAUUUGAUUCCGUUUUUAUGUUUCUGUCUGCAUUUCAGUUUUGCAUUUCUGUUUGCAUCCGUCUUUUGAUUUAGUUCAUCCGCAUUCACAAACCUUUCACAACCCCCCCACUUCGUGAUUGACCUGAUUCUCGAACCACAUUUGGUCCUUAAGAGACGACCUAGGAGUCACUUCCUAGCUAUAGUGCAUUUCUCAUAUGCAAUCAAAUUUGUGUGGGCCGCAACACCCAUCAAAAUUUUGGCGCCGUUGUUGGGGACCAACGGUUCGGUUUUAGGUCUUUUGUUGUGUUAGUGUGUGUUGUGUUUUGUCUUGUGUUUUAAGUGUGAUGUUCUGUUUUAUGUGUUCGUCAUUGUGUGUUGCAUUUAGGUAGCUUUAGUUGCAUAUUUUCAUUGCAUUCUUCUUUUCCCCCUUUUACAUGUCUACCUAUUUUGGUGAUGUGAGUAAUGCUUAUUCUUCCUUUGCAUUCUUCUUUUCCCCCCUUUUACAUGUCUACCUAUUUUGGUGAUGUGAGUAAUGCUUAUUCUGCCUAUGUCUAUGACUCUACUUCUGCAUUUGACUCUGAUAUUGCUUGUGAUGUAUACUCUGCUGAUUUCUAUGUUGAGAACAGAACGGUUUCUCCUCCAUCUCAUGAGAGUGCUCCUAGAGAGUCGUUUCCAUUUGAUAAGUAGGAUAUUCGUUGUGUUUU